rnacentral:rRNA from 1 species
UACAGGGGGGGCAAGCGUUGUUCGGAAUUACUGGGCGUAAAGGGCCAGUAGGCGGCCGACUAAGUCCGACGUGAAAUCCCCAGGCUUAACCGGGGAACUGCGUCCGAUACUGGAUGGCUUGAGUUCGGGAGAGGGAUGCGGAAUUCCAGGUGUAGCGGUGAAAUGCGUAGAUAUCUGGAGGAACACCGGUGGCGAAGGCGGCAUCCUGGACCGACACUGACGCUGAGGAGCGAAAGCCAGGGGAGCAAACGGG